UACGUAGGGGGCUAGCGUUGUCCGGAUUUAUUGGGCGUAAAGAGCGUGUAGGCGGCCAAGUAGGUCCGGUGUGAAAACUCGAGGCUUAACCUCGAGAUGUCAUCGGAAACCAUUUGGCUAGAGUCCGGAAGAGGAAAGUGGAAUUCCUGGUGUAGCGGUGAAAUGCGCAGAUAUCUGGAGGAACACCGGUGGCGAAGGCGGCAUCCUGGACCAUUACUGACGCUGAUCCGCGAAAGCUAGGGGAGCAAACGGG
rnacentral:rRNA from 1 species